rnacentral:rRNA from 1 species
UGCAACUCGCCUGCAUGAAGUCGGAAUUGCUAGUAAUCGCAGAUCAGCAUGCUGCGGUGAAUACGUUCCCGGGCCUUGUACACACCGCCCGUCACACCAUGGGAGUCGGUAACACCCAAAGUUGGUAGCCUAACCGCAAGGAGGGCGGCCGUCUAAGGUGGGAUUGAUGACUGGGGUGAAGUCGUAACAAGGUACC